UAAAUACUCCCGAGAGACCGAUAGCGAACCAGUACCGUGAGGGAAAGGUGAAAAGCACUUCGAACAGAAGAGUGAAAUAGUCCCUGAACCCAUACGCCUACAAGCUGUCGGAGCCGCUUCGUGCGGUGACGGCGUGCCUUUUGCAUAAUGAGCCUACGAGUUACUCAUCACCAGCGAGGUUAAGUACUUCAGGUACGUAAGCCGAAGCGAAAGCGAGUCUGAAUAGGGCGUCAAGUUGGUGGUGGUAGACGCGAAACCUUAGUGAUCUACCCAUGGGCAGGGUGAAGGUUUGGUAACACAAACUGGAGGCCCGAACCGGUAAACGUUGAAAAGUUUUCGGAUGACCUGUGGGUAGGGGUGAAAGGCCAAUCAAACUGGGAAAUAGCUCGUACUCUCCGAAAUGCAUUUAGGUGCAGCCUCUGUUGUUUUGUUCUAGAGGUAGAGCUACUGAUUGGAUGCGAGGGCUUCACCGCCUAUCAAAUCCGGCCAAACUCCGAAUGCUAGAACAUGAAGACAGGGAGUGAGCCAGCGGGUGCUAAGGUCCGUUGACGAAAGAGGGAGAACUCAGACCAUCAGCUAAGGUCCCCAAUUAUAUGCUAAGUUGGAAUAAAAACGGGGUGGGACUGCUUAGACAGCUAGGAUGUUGGCUUGGAAGCAGCCAUUCAUUUAAAGAGUGCGUAACAGCUCACUAGUCGAGCGGUCCUGCAUGGAUAAUACGCGGGCAUAAGCAUAUAACCGAAGCUAUGGGAUUGUAGAUGAUACAAUCGGUAGGAGAGCAUUCCAUUCAGCAUAGAAGCAGUACCGUGAGGUAUUGUGGAGCGGAUGGAAAAGCAAAUGUAGGCAUAAGUAACGAUAAUGCGGGUGAGAACCCCGCACGCCGAAAGAUCAAGGAUUCCCCGGCAAUGUCAAUCAUCCGGGGGUAAGUCGGAUCCUAAGGGUAAGCCGAGUGGCGAUCCCGAUGGUAAACAGGUUAAUAUUCCUGUACUGAUCAUAACUGCGAUGCAGCGACGCAGAGGUGACACUGCUGCGUACUGACGGAAUAGUACGUUGAAACCCGUAUUCUUUGAUACCGGUAGUGAAGCACGCCGGUAGAGAUGAAAGGUGAUAGUACCGCAAUGCUUCGGUUGCGCGGAUAAUGCAGGUAAGCUGACUGCCAAGAAAACCUGCUAAGCUUCAGGUAAUGAUCAUCCGUACUGUAAACGGACACACGUGAUCAGGUAGAAAAUACUAAGGCGCUCGAGAGAUUCAUGGUUAAGGAACUAGGCAAAAUGGUCCUGUAACUUCGGGAUAAAGGACGCUCUUGUGAAAGAGCCGCAGAUAAUAGGCCCAGGCGACUGUUUACCAAAAACACAUGGCUAUGCUAAUUCGCAAGAAGAUGUAUAUGGCCUGACACCUGCCCGGUGCCGGAAGGUUAAGAGGAGAGCUCAGAGGUAACUCGAAGGUUUGAAUUGAAGCCCCGGUAAACGGCGGCCGUAACUAUAACGGUCCUAAGGUAGCGAAAUUCCUUGUCGGGUAAGUUCCGACC
rnacentral:rRNA from 1 species